CACCUGCCCGGCCCGCGGCACCCGGAGCCGCUACAUUCUCCAGAAAUUCUGUCCUUAAGGCUAAAAUCCUGUGGUGAAAGAGAUCAACAUAAUCAUAUCAUUGCAUUAUUAAAACCUUUACCAUCAUGCCUAUUCUUAUGCAUAAAGGUUGCACAUUAUGUACAAUACUUAAAGUAGUGUGAGGAGGCUGGAAUAAUUGUGGUCGUUUAUAUUGUGUUGCAAAAUGUACAAAAGGAAAUGUGAUUAUCAUAGUAUAUAUUUUAAAAAAGCUUUAUUGCAUGCACUUUGUUAGUGAGAGCUUUAUGAAUAGGAUCUUUACAGGCAUGUAAAGGAACUGAGGCUGCCUGUGUAUGGAUAAGAGGAGAGAGAACUUGGGGAUAUUCUAGUUUGCUGAGCUCCUAGUGAAGGAAGGAAAGACUUGAACUUGUGCAGUUUAUUUUUGUCUGUUUAUUUUCCAUUAAUAAUAUUUGAAUCCCUUAGCUAGCACCAGCCACAAAAAGUUUAGAAAAAUAAUCUGGAAAGGAGCAUGUCACCCUUCAAAAAAGUGGCAACAUCAAUGGCAAUGCCCAUUACACAUUCAAGAAUCCAUCCACAGAGGACUGCCAUCUGAAACACAAGUUAACAGAAAUCAGGGCAAGUUUUUCAGAUUCAGGAGAGAAUACUUUGUCACGUGUUUGUAAAGCAGCCAGGUCUCUACAGUCUCUGGGCAGAUUCUGGCACUGUACUCAUAAGGAUCACUCACAGUGACAGAGAACACAGCACAUUGUAACUACAGGACUUUCAUUCGACUGUGAAAGAUCUCUAUCAAGCCUCACAGAGAAUAUGAGGCAGCUGGCAGUUAUCAGCUGAAGCAGGUAGUCAGUAAAAGUGUAGAAGAUAAAUAGAUAAUUGAAAACCAAUCUGGAAACCUGGGAGAGAUAAUAAGCCUCUCUUCUAAAAGGGAGCCAACAACUCAGAAAAUAUUUUCCUCCCAAAGUUCCUCACUUCAAACGGAUGCAUUUUAGAGCUUCUCUUAUCUGAUGUCAUGAUCUUUUUCUACUGAAAUGGGAUUGCUCCAUCUCUACAACAUAACAAUGACCAUGAACAAAGACUGGUUCAUAGGUGUUCUUUUCUGCUUCCAAGGAAAAGGAUGGGCAAGGGAGGAGCACAAUCUGCAUUGCCUCUCUUCAGAAGGGAAUUUACAGCUCUAGUCUUGAGUUAAACAGCCAUUUAUGCUGAAGAACAUGUAGCCCAGAGCUCUGCCUGUCAUCUUUGUGUAUGUGUGUAUCUGUGUAUGUGUGUAUGCCUGUGUGCCUGUGUGUGCCAAAAGAAUAGUGCCUGCUUUGAAAACCUUUGCUUCUGUCACAUAUUUCCUAAAUUGGACACACAGGUAGUCUCAAUAAAAAAUAACAGCUCUCUUAGAAAUAUUCAGUUGCCUAGAUUUUUAUAAAGUACAAUAUCAAUUCAAGAAUUUUUCUUUUGUUCUUCUGAAAAACUAUUACUAACAAAGUCGAAAGUGAAAAAUGAGUCUGUGAGGUCAGACUUGCUUCUAAAUACAAUUUACUCUUACCAUACUGGUAUUACUGUUAUGGCUAUUAUGACAUUUCUAUGUAUAAAAUUUAUAUUAUAAGAAGAUCU